rnacentral:rRNA from 1 species
AGAAUCAACGCUGGCGGCGUGCCUAACACAUGCAAGUCGAACGAGAAAGGGGAGCAAUCCCUGAGUAAAGUGGCGCACGGGUGAGUAACACGUGACUAACCUACCCUGGAGUGGGGGAUAACUGAGGGAAACCUUAGCUAAUACCGCAUAACACCUACGGGUCAAAGGAGCAAUUCGCUUUGGGAGGGGGUCGCGGCCGAUUAGUUAGUUGGCGGGGUAAUGGCCCACCAAGACAGUGAUCGGUAUCCGGCCUGAGAGGGCGCACGGACACACUGGAACUGAAACACGGUCCAGACUCCUACGGGAGGCAGCAGUGGGGAAUUUUGCGCAAUGGGGGAAACCCUGACGCAGCAACGCCGCGUGGAGGAUGAAGUACUUCGGUACGUAAACUCCUUUCGAUCGGGACGAUAAUGACGGUACCGGAAGAAGAAGCCCCGGCUAACUUCGUGCCAGCAGCCGC